rnacentral:rRNA from 1 species
GUGGGGAAUUUUGGACAAUGGGCGCAAGCCUGAUCCAGCCAUUCCGCGUGCAGGAUGAAGGCCUUCGGGUUGUAAACUGCUUUUGUACGGAACGAAAAGCCUCUGGUUAAUACCCGGGGGUCAUGACGGUACCGUAAGAAUAAGCACCGGCUAACUACGUGCCAGCAGCCGCGGUAAUACGUAGGGUGCGAGCGUUAAUCGGAAUUACUGGGCGUAAAGCGUGCGCAGGCGGUGAUGUAUGACAGUUGUGAAAUCCCCGGGCUCAGCCUGGGAACUGCAACUGUGACUGCAGUGCUGGAGUGCGGCAGAGGGAGAUGGAAUUCCGCGUGUAGCAGUGAAAUGCGUAGAUAUGCGGAGGAACACCGAUGGCGAAGGCAAUCCCCUGGGCCUGCACUGACGCUCAUGCACGAAAGCGUGGGGAGCAAACAGGAUUAGAUACCCCUGUAGUCC